UGGUGACCGGACCGACCAUAUUCACGGGACCUUUCCUACUGAUGUUGUGCUCUGAUUUACCAUCUGUUGUCAUCUUUUAAGUUUACGCCCUUAGAACGCAUCGUCUUUUUACUCAUUGUUCAUUAAAACUGGAGCUUGGAGGCUACUUCCUGACUUCGCGUUUUCAUGAAUGGAGUUAGGCUGACUGUUGAAUUGGGUUAGACACACUCAAGGAGGGCAGUACAGGGGGCGUGGUCAAGCGCCGGUCUGUGACAGGAGGGCGGAGUUGGGGAAGGUAAGUGGCAGAAUCGCUACACCUGAGUGUAAUUAACCUGUGUUUUGUGUGUGUUCUCCCCAGUAAACCGCGCCCUAUUUAAGGAGGGAGAGUGAGAGCGGAGGGGAGCUUGCCGAGAGGAGAUUACGGAGUGUGUGUGUGUGGGAAUCUCCGAGUGUUACUUGUUGAGUGCCCGACUGAAAAGUGCGGCAAUAAAAGACGAUAUUUAUCCUGA